UACGUAGGGUGCAAGCGUUAUCCGGAAUUAUUGGGCGUAAAGAGCUCGUAGGCGGUUUGUCGCGUCUGCUGUGAAAACUGGAGGCUCAACCUCCAGCCUGCAGUGGGUACGGGCAGACUAGAGUGCGGUAGGGGAGAUUGGAAUUCCUGGUGUAGCGGUGGAAUGCGCAGAUAUCAGGAGGAACACCGAUGGCGAAGGCAGAUCUCUGGGCCGUAACUGACGCUGAGGAGCGGAAAAGCAUGGGGGAGCGAACAGG
rnacentral:rRNA from 1 species